GACGAACGCUGGCGGCGUGCUUAACACAUGCAAGUCGAACGGAAAGGCCCUGCUUUUGUGGCUUUCUCGAUUGGCGAACGGGUGAGUAACACGUGAGUAUCCUGCCCUUGACUUUGUGAUAACUUCACGAAACUGGGGCUAAUACCGGAUAUGAUCUCCUGCUGCAUGUUGGUGGUUGGAAAGUUUCGGCGGUUGGGGAUGGACUCGCGGCUUAUCAGCUACUUUGUCGGGUAGGUGCUUACCAAGGCUUUGACGGGUAGCCUGCCUGAGAGGGUUGACGGGGUCAUGGGGACUAAGAUAGGGACCAGAAUGGUACCGGCGGCAGUAGGGGGGAAUCUGGCAGAACGGGCCGAAGCCUGAUACAGAAACGCCGGGUGCGGGAUGCCGGGCUUUGGGUGGUGAACAGAUGUGGAAGGUGACGAAGCGUGAGUGACGGUAAUGAGUCAAGAAGCACCGGCUAACUACGUG
rnacentral:rRNA from 1 species